ACAGACGAGUGAAGGCAAGAGUUGCACCUGUGGUUUCUUAAUCUUCUCCCGUUAAUAUUCCCUUGUUUAAGGGCGCAACAAACGUAGAUAAUGCAUCUGCAUCCAGUGGUGUUGAAGACCUUGAGGGACGCAGCCAGGAACACAUCGAGAGUAACCUCCGGUAAAGUGACCUCACGUACUCUCCCUGGACGGCGCUGACGUCAUCCCGCCCGCC